UACAAUACCUAGCAGACUACCAAUAGUUGUCUUUUAAAAUUUUUAUAUCACAGCACGAUUUGUUUGGCACUUUAUUAAAUGCUAGCCAUUUUUAUAACUUGGUAUUGUCCCAUAGAAAAGAUUGCAGCAUAAGAGGAAAAAUAAAUCCUCUGAUUUGUUUGAAUACCAGGUAGCUAAAGAUAUCGUAACAUACAAAUAUUAUAUUCUUUAGUCUUAGAAGUAAAAGCUGACAUUUAUUGAGGGCCUACAAUGUGCCUGCUGCUUUAUUUAUUUAUUUUAUUAAAAUUUUUCUUUGGUAUUGGGAAUGAACACAGGGGUGCCUAACCACUGAGCUAUAGCCCUGAUCCUCUAACUUCUUUAUUUUGAGAACAGGUCUCAUUAAGUUGCUUAAGGCCUGGUUAAGUUGAUGAGGCUGAGUUCAAGAACUUGUGAUCCUCCUACCUCAGCGUACACCCAGCAGUAUACACUAAAGAAUCUACAUAUUUAUGUUAAAAUUUAAGAGGAGAUUUGUCUUCACGUUAUUUCCAACUUGCAUAGUAUAUGCUAUGUAAUUUCAAAUUCUUUAAUUUACAGAAAGAAAAUGAAGAGCAUCAUCGGUUACUGAAGGGGGCACCUUUCAAGUUAAAUCUUUACCCAAGGGACUAUUUUGACACUAAUCCUUAUUUUACUGAAAAACCUUUACCUCCAAUUAAAAAAGAAGAGAAGAAAGAAUCACUUUUAAGUCCUUUUAAGCCCUCUUUUCCUGGUAAAAAGCAUUAUAAAUAGCCUCUUGCUGUAAAUUGUUUUAUUACUCAUCAAUAUAAUAAGCUUUUCUUUGUAUGGAUGCCAAGAAUCAUGAAAGCCUAAUUUUCCAAAAUUAUAUAAAAACAUGGCUAAGGUAUGUAAUGAAGAUCUUGUAAUAAAGUUGUUACUAAUCAUUUCAAAUAUAUUUGGACUUACAGUGAGUUUUCCAAGUAGCUCUCAAGACCUUAACCCUGGGUUUUUUCAAAACCAUAAAAUUUCCAAGUCAUCUUUUUAGUUUUUAAAAUGGUGAUUAAAAUGAACUACCUCCCUACUAUAGAUAUUUAUAAUCAGUGAGAGUAAAAAUUUUAAAAUGCUCUGACAAAUUAUAAACCUUAGUUUUCCUUUGUCCUUUUUCCUUCUGUGAAUUGCCUGUUCAUUUUCUUUUUUUUAAAAUUGGUUUUUAGUUAUACAUGACAAUAGAAUGUAUUUUUACAUAUAUCCUUCCCAUUUUUGGGGUUGUUCAUGAUGUUGCCUGCUCAUUUGCCUGUGAACUUUCUGUAAGGGUGUUUGUGCUUUCCAUAUUGACUCAAGAUCUUUUCAUACCGUAAGGAUAUAUCCUUUUUUCAUUUGUGGUGAAAGUAAUUUUUCUACUCUAUUAGAUCUUUUGACUUUGAUUAUGUUAUCUUGUGCUAUUUAGAAAUUGAAUAAAUUGAUCAAUCCUUUCUGGUGAAGUUUUGUGUCAUUUUCAGAAUGGAUUUGUUGUUUUACCAUUGAUAUUAGAAUAAUGUGCCUUAUUUUUUUUUCUGCUAGCCUUAUCAGAUUCAAUUUUAUCAGAUG
rnacentral:lncRNA from 1 species